rnacentral:rRNA from 1 species
UACGAAGGGUCCAAGCGUUAUCCGGAUUUAUUGGGUUUAAAGGGUGCGUAGGCGGCUUAUUAAGUCAGUGGUGAAAGCCUGUAGCUUAACUACAGAACUGCCAUUGAUACUGAUGAGCUUGAAUAUACUUGAGGUUGGCGGAAUGUGUCAUGUAGCGGUGAAAUGCUUAGAUAUGACACAGAACACCGAUUGCGAAGGCAGCUAGCUAAAGUACAAUUGACGCUGAUGCACGAAAGCGUGGGGAGCAAACAGGA